GGGCCAGACUCCUACGGGAGGCAGCAGUGAGGAAUAUUGGUCAAUGGGCGGGAGCCUGAACCAGCCAAGCCGCGUGAGGGAAGAAGGUACAGCGUAUCGUAAACCUCUUUUGUCAGGGAACAAAGGCGGGGACUAGUCCCCGGAUGAGGGUACCUGAAGAAAAAGCAUCGGCUAACUCCGUGCCAGCAGCCGCGGUAAUACGGAGGAUGCGAGCGUUAUCCGGAUUUAUUGGGUUUAAAGGGUGCGCAGGCGGAGGUGCAAGUCAGCGGUCAAAUUGCGGGGCUCAACCCCGUACUGCCGUUGAAACUGGCGUUCUUGAGUGGGCGAGAAGUAUGCGGAAUGCGUGGUGUAGCGGUGAAAUGCAUAGAUAUCACGCAGAACUCCGAUUGCGAAGGCAGCGCACCGGCGCCCUACUGACGCUCAGGCACGAAAGCGUGGGUAUCGAACAGGAUUAGAUACCCUAGUA
rnacentral:rRNA from 1 species